AUUGAACGCUGGCGGCAGGCUUAACACAUGCAAGUCGAGCGGUAACAGAGAGAAGCUUGCUUCUCUGCUGACGAGCGGCGGACGGGUGAGUAAUGCCUAGGAAUCUGCCUAGUAGUGGGGGAUAACUUGCCGAAAGGUAAGCUAAUACCGCAUACGUCCUACGGGAGAAAGGAGGGGACCUUCGGGCCUUUCGCUAUUAGAUGAGCCUAGGUCGGAUUAGUUAGUUGGUGAGGUAAUGGCUCACCAAGACCGCGAUCCGUAACUGGUCUGAGAGGAUGAGCAGUCACACUGGAACUGAGACACGGUCCAGACUCCUACGGGAGGCAGCAGUGGGGAAUAUUGGACAAUGGGGGGAACCCUGAUCCAGCCAUGCCGCGUGUGUGAAGAAGGUCUUAGGAUUGUAAAGCGCUUUAAGUUGGGAGGAAGAGCAGUUAACUAAUAUUUGACUGUUUUGACGUUACCGACAGAAUAAGCACCGGCUAACUUCGUGCCAGCAGCCGCCGUAA
rnacentral:rRNA from 1 species